rnacentral:rRNA from 1 species
GAUGAACGCUAGCGGGAGGCCUAACACAUGCAAGCCGAGCGGUAGGGUUUCUUCGGAAACUUGAGAGCGGCGCACGGGUGCGUAACACGUGUGCAACCUACCUUUAUCCGGGGGAUAGCCUUUCGAAAGGAAGAUUAAUACCCCAUAAUAUAAUGAUUGGCAUCAAUUAUUAUUGAAAACUCCGGUGGAUAGAGAUGGGCACGCGCAAGAUUAGAUAGUUGGUGAGGUAACGGCUCACCAAGUCAAUGAUCUUUAGGGGUCCUGAGAGGGAGAUCCCCCACACUGGUACUGAGACACGGACCAGACUCCUACGGGAGGCAGCAGUGAGGAAUAUUGGACAAUGGGUGAGAGCCUGAUCCAGCCAUCCCGCGUGAAGGAUGACGGUCCUAUGGAUUGUAAACUUCUUUUGUACAGGGAUAAACCUACCCUCGUGAGGGUAGCUGAAGGUACUGUACGAAUAAGCACCGGCUAACUCCGUG